UAGUAGCUGAUGGAGAGCGUUAGACUGAAGAUCUGAAGGUCCCUAGUUCGAUU
rnacentral:tRNA from 14 species